AAAGUGCCUUGAGAUGACAUGUUUCAUGAGUUGGCGCUAUAUAAAUUGAAUUGAAUUGAACAUGGUAAAGGCCAUGAGGGAUGCAGAUCUACCCAGCCUGCCGUGCAUGGCUCAUACACUGCAGCUUGCCGUUGCCGACGGAGUUCUAUCACAACGCAGCAUCGCUGAUAUAAUAGCCUAUGGAAGACGCAUCGUCGGUCAUUUCAAACAUUCCAAGCUUGCCUACUCUCGACUUCAAAAUAUUCAGAAGCAACUUGGCCAGCCUAUUAAGAGGCUCCAACAGGAUGUACCUACCAGGUGGAACAGUACAGUUAAUAUGCUACAGAGUCUGAUGGAACAGAAGUGUGCCCUAUGUGCUUAUGGAGCUGACUAUGACUUGCCUUCCAUGUUCACUGGCAGCCAGUGGAAAUUGGUGGAAAAUAUGAUUUCUCUACUAGCCCCGUUUGAAGAGCUCACGCACCAGAUCAGCUCAUCAACUGCAUCGGCUGCAGAUAUUAUACCAUCCAUCAGAGCCUAAACCCGUCUUCUGGAGAAAGCCGCUGAGACGGACCACGGUGUAAAAACUUCAAAAGCAGCAUUGUUGGAAGCGGUCCAGAACAGAUUCAGUGACAUUCAAUCGAAGCGCCUGUAUACCAUCGCAACAGUGCUCGAUCCGAGGUAUAAAGACAGAUAUUUCUCCGACGCACUCAAGCCCCAGAUUCGCGGGCUGCUUUCUGAUGUCCUUGCUACUGGACAGGAGCAGCAAAAUGGUGAGGCAAGUUUGGAAGCGACUGGCACCGAGCCCCCAGAGAAAGUAUCACGAGCUGGCUCCUUACACGCUAUGUAUGCUGAGUUGUUGGAUGAAGACGGGGAACAUGGUGGCGGUGACAUCAGCAGCUCAACAUCAUCGCAGAUGAACCUCUACCUAUCAGAGCCAGUCAUCCCACGGAGCGGACAGCCGCUUGUUUUUUGGCGAGACAAUAAAAGUCGUUUCCCCACUCUCGCACAAGCAGCACAAGCCUACCUCUGUACUCCAUGCACAAGUGUAGAUAGUGAGCGACUUUUUAGCACAGCAGGGAAUAUUGUAGAUGAGAAGAGGAACAAGCUGUCUGCCAAAAAUGCAGAGAUGCUUAUAUUUCUAAAGAAAAAUCUGCCAUUGAUGCUUAACAAGUAAGCUUUAAGAGAAAUGGCUUUACUAAUCUCUAUUCCUCUUCUUUCUUUCUCAUUCACUCAUGAUUUCCAUGCUAUGCACUUUAAAUGUAUGUAGAUUUAAAGGAGCUAAAAGAACAUUUAAAGUUAGCAUUUGUUUGAAAUUUACAAAACUUUAUUACUACUGAAAAUGUCUGCAGUGAUUAGAAGGACAUUUUAGAUUUUGAGCUAGGACAAAAAGCCAACCAAUUACUGAUAUAUUAAUAAUAUAAUAAUAAUUAUUUAAAUAAAAAUAAUAAUUUAGAUAAUAUAAUAUUAUCUAAAGAUGCGUGACCGUUCCGUCAUGGCUUCUAUUUUCAGUUAAUUACCGCAGGACAAGCCUAAAAUACAUACCUUAUGCCUUUUUAUCAUGGCAUCCCAAAAUAUUUGAUUUUGUUUUCUUUGCUCUGCACUUUAAGUUUAAGUACACUUUAAGUUUGUGUAAAUUAACAAUGACAGAUUUUUUUGUAUCUUAUUUAGAAAUAAG